rnacentral:rRNA from 1 species
UACAGAGGGUGCGAGCGUUAAUCGGAAUUACUGGGCGUAAAGCGCACGUAGGUGGCGACGUAAGUCGGGUGUGAAAGCCCCGGGCUCAACCUGGGAAUUGCAUUCGAGACUGCAUUGCUGGAGUACGGAAGAGGAUCGCGGAAUUCCCGGUGUAGAGGUGAAAUUCGUAGAUAUCGGGAGGAACACCGGUGGCGAAGGCGGCGAUCUGGGUAGAUACUGACGCUGAGGUGCGAAAGCGUGGGGAGCAAACAGG